rnacentral:rRNA from 1 species
GAUGAACGCUGGCGGCGUGCCUAAUACAUGCAAGUCGAGCGAACAGACGAGGAGCUUGCUCCUCUGACGUUAGCGGCGGACGGGUGAGUAACACGUGGAUAACCUACCUAUAAGACUGGGAUAACUUCGGGAAACCGGAGCUAAUACCGGAUAAUAUAUUGAACCGCAUGGUUCAAUAGUGAAAGACGGUUUUGCUGUCACUUAUAGAUGGAUCCGCGCCGCAUUAGCUAGUUGGUAAGGUAACGGCUUACCAAGGCAACGAUGCGUAGCCGACCUGAGAGGGUGAUCGGCCACACUGGAACUGAGACACGGUCCAGACUCCUACGGGAGGCAGCAGUAGGGAAUCUUCCGCAAUGGGCGAAAGCCUGACGGAGCAACGCCGCGUGAGUCAUGAAGGUCUUCGGAUCGUAAAACUCUGUUAUUAGGGAAGAACAAAUGUGUAAGUAACUAUGCACGUCUUGACGGUACCUAAUCAGAAAGCCACGGCUAACUACGUG